rnacentral:rRNA from 1 species
AACGAACGCUGGCGGCAGGCCUAACACAUGCAAGUCGAGCGAGGACUUCGGUCCUAGCGUCGGACGGGUGAGUAACGCGUGGGAACGUGCCCUUUGCUUCGGAAUAGCCCUUGGAAACUGGGAGUAAUACCGGAUUAGCCCUUUGGGGGAAAGAUUUAUCGGCGAAGGAUCGGCCCGCGUUGGAUUAGGUAGUUGGUGGGGUAAUGGCCUACCAAGCCGACGAUCCAUAGCUGGUUUGAGAGGAUGAUCAGCCACACUGGGACUGAGACACGGCCCAGACUCCUACGGGAGGCAGCAGUGGGGAAUCUUAGACAAUGGGGGAAACCCUGAUCGAGCCAUGCCGCGUGAGCGAUGAAGGCCUUAGGGUUGUAAAGCUCUUUCAGCUGGGAAGAUAAUGACGGUACCAGCAGAAGAAGCCCCGGCUAACUCCGUG